rnacentral:misc_RNA from 1 species
CAACCCUCAAGACCCCUUCGGGGGACUUGGUGUUGGGGACCGGCACAGGGGGCCUUGCGCCCCUCGCCGCCCCCGAAAUGAAUUGGCGGCCUCGUCGCGGCCUCCCCUGCGUAGUAGCACAACCUCGCAACGGGAACGUGACGGCGGCCACUGCCGUAAAACAACCCAAUUUUAUUAG